AUUGAACGCUGGCGGCAGGCCUAACACAUGCAAGUCGAGCGGGGUUUUCGGACCUAGCGGCGGACGGGUGAGUAAUGCGUAGGAAGCUGCCCGAUAGAGGGGGAUACCAGUUGGAAACGACUGUUUAUACCGCAUAAUGUCUACGGACCAAAGUGUGGGACCUUCGGGCCACAUGCUAUCGGAUGCGCCUACGUGGGAUU
rnacentral:rRNA from 1 species